AGAGUUUGAUCCUGGCUCAGAAUGAACGUUGGCGGCGUGGAUUAGGCAUGCAAGUCGAGCGAGAACCAGUCUUCGGACUGGGGAGAGCGGCGAACGGGGUAGGAAUACCUCGGUGACGUACCCCUCGGUCGGGGAUAGCGGCGGGAAACUGCCGGUAAUACCCGAUAACCUGUCUUGAUUUUAUGUUUGGGACAGCAAAGGUGUGAUUCCGUCGGGGGAGCGGCUGAGGUCGUAUUAGCUAGUUGGUAAGGUAACGGCUUACCAAGGCGAUGAUGCGUAGGGGGUGUGAGAGCAUGGCCCCCACCACUGGCACUGAGACACUGGCCAGACACCUACGGGUGGCUGCAGUCGAGAAUCUUCGGCAAUGGGCGCAAGCCUGACCGAGCGACGCCGCGUGCGGGAUGAAGGUCUUCGGAUUGUAAACCGCUGUCGGAGGGGAUGAAGUGCACCAGAGCAAUCUCUGGUGUUUGACAGAGCCUCGGAGGAAGCACGGGCUAAGUUCGUGCCAGCAGCCGCGGUAAU
rnacentral:rRNA from 1 species